rnacentral:snRNA from 1 species
AGCUUUGUGCAGUGGCAGUAUCGUAGCCAAUGAGGUUUAUCCAAGGCGUGAUUAUUGCAAAUUGAAAACGUUUCCCAAUUUCA